GAUGAAGAACGUAGCGAAAUGCGAUACGUAAUGUGAAUUGCAGAAUUCAGUGAAUCAUCGAGUCUUUGAACGCACAUUGCGCCCCCUGGUAUUCCGGGGGGCAUGCCUGUCCGAGCGUCAUUGCUGCCCUCAAGCACGGCUUGUGUGUUGGGCCUCCGUCCUCCUCCCGGGGGACGGGCCCGAAAGGCAGCGGCGGCACCGCGUCCGGUCCUCGAGCGUAUGGGGCUUCGUCACCCGCUCUUGAGGCCCGGCCGGCUCCGGCCCAUCAACCAUCGAGGACCCGUUCCUCAACCAGGUUGACCUCGGAUCAGGUAGGGAUACCCGCUGAACUUAAGCAUAUCAAUAAGCGGAGGA
rnacentral:misc_RNA from 1 species